rnacentral:rRNA from 1 species
AUGUACAGAUAUAGUCGAGACGGCAUCCAGGCUCAUUCAGCAGGGCGCUGGGUCUCAGGCACGUCGCACUCGUCAAGCAGCGCCAGGAUGUUAUGCUCAGGGGCGCUCACGGAGGGCAGUAUGGCGCGCCUCCGGAGCGCAGACCGCGACCUUGUGGUGCUGCUGUCGGGCUCGAGCUGUGAUCCUUCCUUCACGACCGGAAGGUCUGUCCUCGGCCUCCCGCCCGCUGUAGACAUCCUCUCUUGCCAUAUCCUCCCAUCCUAG